GUCCCCAUCAUUGAAAUAGCUUCCUGGCGAAACGCUUCCCGAAGAUGAAUACGUCUGAGAUCCAUGGGAAUAGUCCUGAAAUGGAAGACUCUAAUAUGGCUGUGUUUCUAAACGAGUUGUACCCGUAUAUGGUCAUGCCCUGGGUUGUGUUUUUUUUGUGUGUGUGAAUAUGAUUCAUGGCGACCCGAUUGAGAAGAAAUCGUGCGAAAGAAACUGUAAACCCUAUCUUUUCUUUUUUUUAUUUUUACACGGUGUUCAUGACAUCUUGUUGCGGUAUCCUUUUCAUGCGAUUUGGUGUGUGCGAUUGUGCGUGUGUGAUAUGUGUGCAAUCUUUAGAUCGUUUUAUGGUUCCCUUUUCCAAGUUUGUAUGUGAAUGAGUAAGUCGUACGUAGUAUGUAUUCAUGUCGACAAGAACGAACUCCAACGGAGUGAAACGAUAAAUGCACGAAGAAGUUGUGCAUGGGCCAUGUACUGAGAGAAACAGAUAGCUCAAAUUUUGCAUCCACCCAAAGAUCUUCCAUGGAACCUGAGACAGACCCACCAAAGGCUGCUGGCACGAACAAAUAGUCAUCCGAGUCACUAUCUAUGCUGGGUUGAAGAAAAUCCCGAGAAAAUGAGUCCUGGUCACGCGUGUCGAAUCUGGUGAGCUUGGAGAAUCCCUUCACGACUUGUUGGCCCAAUUCUCGGAGUUUAUUCGAGACCAUUUCCAAUGGGUUUAAGCUCACUGCACUUUGUCUCUUGGUGAGCACAGAGUUGCCGCUGGACGCAUAAUUGGUAUGCCAUUCGCGGGUCUUGCUCUUUGUGUUGAGGAGAGGAAAUCCCGGAUUGACCGGUGAGAAAUGAGGUUGGUGAUCCUGGGAGUAGGUUUGGUACCACUCGCCUCGUUGGGCAUGGGGAAAAGCUUCCACCUCCACGACCACGA